rnacentral:rRNA from 1 species
UACGUAGGUGGCAAGCGUUGUCCGGAUUUACUGGGCGUAAAGAGCGCGCAGGCGGUCGAGUAAGUCGAAUGUGAAAGCCCCCCGGCUCAACUGGGGAGGGUCAUUCGAUACUGUCCGACUCGAAGGCAGGAGAGGGAAGCGGAAUUCCCGGUGUAGUGGUGAAAUGCGUAGAUAUCGGGAGGAACACCAGUGGCGAAGGCGCUUUCUGGCCUGUUCUUGACGCCUGAGGCGCGAAAGCUAGGGGAGCGAACGGG